rnacentral:rRNA from 1 species
GCAGAUAUCAGGAGGAACACCAGUGGCGAAGGCGGUUCUCUGGGCCUUUCCUGACGCUGAGGAGCGAAAGCGUGGGGAGCGAACAGGCUUAGAUACCCUGGUAGUCCACGCUGUAAACGGUGGGUACUAGGUGUGGGGUCCAUUCCACGGGUUCCGUGCCGUAGCUAACGCUUUAAGUACCCCGCCUGGGGAGUACGGCCGCAAGGCUAAAACUCAAAGGAAUUGACGGGGGCCCGCACAGGCGG